UACGUAGGCGGCAAGCGUUACCCGGAUUUAUUGGGCGUAAAGAGUGCGCAGGCGGUUUUGAAAGUCAUCAUUGAAAUCUUGGGGCUCAACCCCAAGCCUGGUGGUGAUACUUCAAGACUAGGUUACUUGAGGGGGUACCGGAACAGUUGGUGGAGCAGUGAAAUGCGUUGAUAUCAACUGGAACACCAAAGGCGAAGGCAGGUACCUGGCAAGUCAACGACGCUGUUGCACGAAAGCGUGGGGAGCAAAACGG
rnacentral:rRNA from 1 species